GGCUCUGUGGCGCAAUGGAUAGCGCAUUGGACUUCUAGACAGGUUAGAGGCAUUCAAAGGUUGUGGGUUCGAGUCCCACCAGAGUCG
rfam:Myotis davidii contig94520, whole genome shotgun sequence.